rnacentral:rRNA from 1 species
AAAUUGAAGAGUUUGAUCAUGGCUCAGAUUGAACGCUGGCGGCAGGCCUAACACAUGCAAGUCGAACGGUAACAGGAAGAAGCUUGCUUCUUUGCUGACGAGUGGCGGACGGGUGAGUAAUGUCUGGGAAACUGCCUGAUGGAGGGGGAUAACUACUGGAAACGGUAGCUAAUACCGCAUAACGUCGCAAGACCAAAGAGGGGGACCUUCGGGCCUCUUGCCAUCGGAUGUGCCCAGAUGGGAUUAGCUAGUAGGUGGGGUAACGGCUCACCUAGGCGACGAUCCCUAGCUGGUCUGAGAGGAUGACCAGCCACACUGGAACUGAGACACGGUCCAGACUCCUACGGGAGGCAGCAGUGGGGAAUAUUGCACAAUGGGCGCAAGCCUGAUGCAGCCAUGCCGCGUGUAUGAAGAAGGCCUUCGGGUUGUAAAGUACUUUCAGCGGGGAGGAAGGGAGUAAAGUUAAUACCUUUGCUCAUUGACGUUACCCGCAGAAGAAGCACCGGCUAACUCCGUGCCAGCAGCCGCGGUAAUACGGAGGGUGCAAGCGUUAAUCGGAAUUACUGGGCGUAAAGCGCACGCAGGCGGUUUGUUAAGUCAGAUGUGAAAUCCCCGGGCUCAACCUGGGAACUGCAUCUGAUACUGGCAAGCUUGAGUCUCGUAGAGGGGGGGUAGAAUUCCGGUGUAGCGGUGAAAUGCGUAGAGAUCUGGAGGAAUACCGGUGGCGAAGGCGGCCCCCUGGACGAAGACUGACGCUCAGGUGCGAAAGCGUGGGGAGCAAACAGGAUUAGAUACCCUGGUAGUCCACGCCGUAAACGAUGUCGACUUGGAGGUUGUGCCCUUGAGGCGUGGCUUCCGGAGCUAACGCGUUAAGUCGACCGCCCGGGGAGUACGGCCGCAAGGUUAAAACUCAAAUGAAUUGACGGGGCCCGCACAAGCGGUGGAGCAUGUGGUUUAAUUCGAUGCAACGCGAAGAACCUUACCUGGUCUUGACAUCCACGGAAGUUUUCAGAGAUGAGAAUGUGCCUUCGGGAACCGUGAGACAGGUGCUGCAUGGCUGUCGUCAGCUCGUGUUGUGAAAUGUUGGGUUAAGUCCCGCAACGAGCGCAACCCUUAUCCUUUGUUGCCAGCGGUCCGGCCGGGAACUCAAAGGAGACUGCCAGUGAUAAACUGGAGGAAGGUGGGGAUGACGUCAAGUCAUCAUGGCCCUUACGACCAGGGCUACACACGUGCUACAAUGGCGCAUACAAAGAGAAGCGACCUCGCGAGAGCAAGCGGACCUCAUAAAGUGCGUCGUAGUCCGGAUUGAGUCUGCAACUCGACUCCAUGAAGUCGGAAUCGCUAGUAAUCGUGGAUCAGAAUGCCACGGUGAAUACGUUCCCGGGCCUUGUACACACCGCCCGUCACACCAUGGGAGUGGGUUGCAAAAGAAGUAGGUAGCUUAACCUUCGGGAGGGCGCUUACCACUUUGUGAUUCAUGACUGGGGUGAAGUCGUAACAAGGUAACCGUAGGGGAACCUGCGGUUGGAUCACCUCCUUACCUUAAAGAAGC